UACGGAGGGGGCUAGCGUUGUUCGGAAUUACUGGGCGUAAAGCGCACGUAGGCGGCUUUGUAAGUUAGAGGUGAAAGCCCGGGGCUCAACCCCGGAACAGCCUUUAAGACUGCAUCGCUUGAACACGGGAGAGGUGAGUGGAAUUCCGAGUGUAGAGGUGAAAUUCGUAGAUAUUCGGAAGAACACCAGUGGCGAAGGCGGCUCACUGGACCGUUGUUGACGCUGAGGUGCGAAAGCGUGGGGAGCAAACAGG
rnacentral:rRNA from 1 species